UACGAAGGGGGCUAGCGUUGCUCGGAAUUACUGGGCGUAAAGGGCGCGUAGGCGGCGCGGUGAGUCAACGGUGAAAGCUCGGCGCUCAACGCCGAGUCGGCCGUCGAUACUCCCGUGCUCGAGCACUGUAGAGGCAGGUGGAAUUCCGGGUGUAGCGGUGGAAUGCGUAGAGAUCCGGAAGAACACCGGUGGCGAAGGCGGCCUGCUGGGCAGUAGCUGACGCUGAGGCGCGACAGCGUGGGGAGCAAACAGG
rnacentral:rRNA from 1 species